UCCCAUGCCACAAGAAUUUAUUCUUGAGUUUGUUCAAAAUUUUCUGAAUAUUAGAAGUUAAAUGGAAUAAGGACAUAACAUAAGUAGGCAGAGAGUCUAGGACAGAAUUGAUAACAGUAAGUCGUCCUUCCAAAGAUAAAGUUUGAGCCUUCCAACUAGCCAAUUUUUUUCCUAUUUUUUUCACUAUUCCAUCCAGAUUUCCCCUGCUUUGUGUUUUCUGCCUAAAGGCAUGCCAAGGUAAGUUGUAGGCAAGUUCUCCACUUCACAUCCUAAAAUCUUAGCAAGAUUCUGUAUGUUUGAGAGUGACCUAUCUGUCAUACAAAAGUACCGCAGACUUCUUGUAUUCGCACCAGUUGUCAAGUUGAUUGACACGCGUUAGCUAUCAGGAAAAUUUAGGAGUAAUAACCAAAAUACCCUUUAGUAGCAGCUAACAAGCAGACAUGUCGUCCAGAUGUGUGCUAAUAAGGAGAGUUAGCAGAUACCUGGACGAUAUGUCUGCCUCACUCUUCAAGGGCAUACAGGUCUUUGAGUCUUUCAGUAUCAUCAAUAUCAGAAAAGCUCUACCAUCUGCCAGUUUUCCAGUUUUGCAAUGGUUUGAAAGAUCUUCUUCUGAUAUUUUGGUUCGUUUUCCUGUCGGGUUUCUCUGAAGAACAGUUGGCAUUCGUAUACUUGUCCUUUCAACAGUUUAACGGUCCACCUGGGAACCGGCAAUUGUGAGAUAUUAUUUGGACCAAAAUCAAAAGAAGGGUAUAAUUACUCUGUUUAAUAUAGUUGAAGGGUAUUUUUGGUCCUUUUUUCUUAAAUCUAUAUGUAGCUAGUUCAUUGGUCUUUAUGUUCACAAAAAUUUGAUUGUUGUUCA